rnacentral:rRNA from 1 species
UGGGGAAUAUUGGACAAUGGGCGCAGGCCUGAUCCAGCCAUGCCGCGUGGAUGAUGAAGGCCUUAGGGUUGUAAAAUCCUUUCGCCGAGGACGAUAAUGACGGUACUCGGAGAAGAAGCUCCGGCUAACUUCGUGCCAGCAGCCGCGGUAAUACGAAGGGGGCUAGCGUUGUUCGGAUUUACUGGGCGUAAAGCGCGUGUAGGCGGGUCGUUAAGUUGGGGGUGAAAUCCCGAGGCUCAACCUCGGAACUGCCUUCAAAACUGGCGACCUGGACCUAAGUAGAGGCAAGUGGAAUUGCGAGUGUAGAGGUGAAAUUCGUAGAUAUUCGCAGGAACACCAGUGGCGAAGGCGACUUGCUGGACUUAUGGUGACGCUGAGACGCGAAAGCGUGGGGAGCAAACAGGAUUAGAUACCCGGGUAGUCCCUGAGCGGGCUGGCAAGGCGCAU